rnacentral:misc_RNA from 1 species
GCACGCAUUAAAAAAAGAAGAAACAAAAUUUGAAAUUAAAAAAACAAAGAUUGGACGUACGCACCCAAGUCUCCUAACCACUCACGGCCCCCACGCCAGACUUCCUCUCUCACAUUUUUUACAAGCCGAUCUCACAUCCUUUUCUUUUCUCUUGCAUUUUCUUGUAUUUGCUGCAGCCGGGUCCUACCUCUCAUUAACUGAUGCUCUUUCGUCUUUCCUCAACCUUGUUCUCGCACGCACGAUGGACGGAAGACGUUGCCGCCACCGCUUCUUCGGAGUUAGGAAACGCCGCCGCAACCGGCUGUUUCUUCGAC